GAUGAACGCUGGCGGCAUGCCUAACACAUGCAAGUCGAGCGAACGCACCAGAAGCUUUCUCCUAUGAGGUUAGCGGCUGACGGGAGAGUAACACGUGGAUAACAUACCUAUAAGACUGGGAUAAUUUCGUGAGACAGUAUCUAAUACCGGAUGAUAUUUUGAACUGCAUGGUGCAAAAGUUAAAGACGCUCUUUCUGUCACUUAUAGAUGAAUCCGCGCUGCAUUAGCUACUUGGUAAGGUAACGGCUCACCAACGCUACGAUGGAUAGCCGACCUGAGAGGAUACUAGGCCACACUGGAAUUGAGACACGGUCCAGACUCCUACGGGAGGCAGCAGUAGGGAAUAUUUCGGAAUGGGCGAAAGCCUGACGAAGCAACACCGCGUGAGUGAUGAAGGCAUUCGGGUCGUAAAACUCUUUUAUGCGGGAAGAAAAUAUGGGUAAGUAACCGUGCACGUUAUGACGGGACCUAAUCAAAAAGCCACGGGUAACUUCGUG
rnacentral:rRNA from 1 species